rnacentral:rRNA from 1 species
GAGUUUGAUCGUGGCUCAGAUUGAACGCUGGCGGCAUGCCUUACACAUGCAAGUCGAACGGCAGCAUGAUCUAGCUUGCUAGAUUGAUGGCGAGUGGCGAACGGGUGAGUAAUACAUCGGAACGUGCCCUGUAGUGGGGAGUAACUAGUCGAAAGAUUAGCUAAUACCGCAUACGACCUGAGGGUGAAAGUAGGGGGACCGGCAAGGCCUCAUGCUAUAGGAGCGGCCGAUGUCUGAUUAGCUAGUUGGUGGGGUAAAGGCCCGACCAAGGCGACGAUCAGUAGCUGGUCUGAGAGGACGAUCAGCCACACUGGGACUGAGACACGGCCCAGACUCCUACGGGAGGCAGCAGUGGGGAAUUUU